rnacentral:rRNA from 1 species
UACGGAGGAUCCAAGCGUUAUCCGGGUUUAUUGGGUUUAAAGGGCGCGUAGGUGGCCCGGUGAGCGUGCGGUGAAAGCUCGGGGCUCAACCCCGAGUCGGCCGUGCGAACUGCUGGGCUUGAGCACUGUAGAGGCAGGCGGAAUUCCGGGUGUAGCGGUGGAAUGCGUAGAGAUCCGGAAGAACACCGGUGGCGAAGGCGGCCUGCUGGGCAGUGGCUGACACUGAGGCGCGACAGCGUGGGGAGCAAUCAGG